UGAGCAAUCUGCCCUUCUCUUUGGAAUAAGCGUUGGAAACGACGUCUAAUGCCGAAUACGACCUCCUUUCGCAUGAUCGGAGGUGGAAAGCUCCGGCGGAGAAGGAUGAGCUCGCGGCCUAUCAGCUAGUUGGUGAGGGUAAUGGCCCACAAGGCGACGACGGGUAGCCGGCCUGAGGAGGGUGACCCGGCCACACGUGGGACUGAGACACGGCCCAGACCUCCGUACGGGAGNAG
rnacentral:rRNA from 1 species